UACGGAGGGUGCAAGCGUUAAUCGGAAUUACUGGGCGUAAAGCGCACGCAGGUGGCUGAGUCAGUCGAUUGUGAAAGCCCUGGGCUUAACCUGGGAAUUGCAGUCGAUACUACUCAGCUAGAGUUCGGGAGAGGAUGGUGGAAUUCCCAGUGUAGAGGUGAAAUUCGUAGAUAUUGGGAAGAACACCGAUGGCGAAGGCAGCCAUCUGGACCGACACUGACGCUGAGGCGCGAAAGCGUGGGGAGCAAACAGG
rnacentral:rRNA from 1 species